AGAAGCCUGAGAGAAUGUCACUUGCUCGCCUCAGGGAAAUGAGGGCUGACAGAUUAUCCUAGCUACAGGAAUAUGAAACAGCAGAGAACAUGACAGAUGGGGAAGUGCUGGAGCCCUGAAGUUAAGGAGAUGUUAGAAAUGCUGUUACUUUAACACAAACUAAAGAAGUUCCAACAAUGGAAGAAAAAGCAAUUUGUUGAAGACAGAUCAAUUAAAAAUAUGUGUCAUUCUGUGGAACACUAUACAAGAAAACAAUGAAUACAUAUAUUAAUCUCAAUCCUGACCCAUGUGGAGUUGGAGUAUUUAUUCAGAUAAAUUUUCAUGCAGAUAAUGGUUGAAUUUAAUAUGACUGUAAAUAAAUAUAUAUUGUUCACAAUAUGAUUAUAAUUUAAUAAAAUUAGAUUGUACUAAUAUGUGGCAAAUGGCUGUGAACAGUAGCAUGACAUAUGCCAGUGUUAGCUACAGGAGAAAUGAAUACAAAUUUGACAGCCUUUUCUGAUGUAAUGGACACAUAUUUUGAUUUCUAUUUGUCCAUCCAAACUCUGACAUGAUCUGUAUCACCUUGCUGACUAUGAUCUGUCUGUACAAAGCUUUUCACUGUGUUUAGGUACACAUGACAAACAAUAGAUCAAAUCAAACUUCUAGUAAUGAUAUGCCACAACCAUAGUCUCAGUGUUCAAACUAAGUAUAUCACUUUGUACUACUUAUUUUGUUAUUGUGUGCAAACAGUCUAAAUGACAUGUUCGCCAGUGGUGAAGACGUGCCCCUUUAACUGCUAGAUACUUAAUAAAAGUUGUAUUCAACUUAAACAUGAGCACUGGGAUGAAUGUGCCAAGUCUGCAAACAGACCUGACUUAUCCUUGGGGUAUUAUUAUUGAAACUUCC